rnacentral:tRNA from 1 species
UAUAGCUCAGUGAUAGAGCACUUGCCUAGUAUGCAUGAGGCCCUAGGUUCAAUCUCUAGUA